rnacentral:lncRNA from 10 species
GAGGAGCGAGGGUGAUUGUCCACUUACAACAAAGUUUGCAACUCCCUGGAUAGUCCUUUCUACACCUUAAGAGAACCCCUUCCCCUCUUCAAAAUUGGUGUUCCAAGGCAAGAAGUUAUUUUCACCAGGGAAGCCUGUGAACAGAAAGAGCUCCUGAGACUACACCUGCUUUUAAUUUGGUGUCAGUAGGAACGAUGGAGAUGAAAACCUCAUCAAGACCAGCACGGAUUUGGGAAUCACCAAUAGAGUCAACCCCUCACUCUAAGAUGAGGAAACUAAGGCCCCCUAAGGUGAACUGUGAACUGAAUUGAUGAAAGCUGGGAUCAAAGCCCAGAUCUCUGGGCUCCUUGUCUGGUAUUUAUCUUCCCUGCUUUCUUCAUAAUUAAAUUCAGUGUAAUGACGCAGACGUAGAGCAAGAUCCUGGAGUGUCUUCUUAAUCAUCAAAUAUUGUCCUCUAUAAAGUUAUAAUGUUUAGUGAA